rnacentral:rRNA from 1 species
AUUGAACGCUGGCGGCAGGCUUAACACAUGCAAGUCGAGCGGGGAAGGGUAGCUUGCUACCUGACCUAGCGGCGGACGGGUGAGUAAUGCUUAGGAAUCUGCCUAUUAGUGGGGGACAACGUUUCGAAAGGGACGCUAAUACCGCAUACGCCCUACGGGGGAAAGCAGGGGAUCACUUGUGACCUUGCGCUAAUAGAUGAGCCUAAGUCGGAUUAGCUAGUUGGUGGGGUAAAGGCCUACCAAGGCGACGAUCUGUAGCGGGUCUGAGAGGAUGAUCCGCCACACUGGGACUGAGACACGGCCCAGACUCCUACGGGAGGCAGCAGUGGGGAAUAUUGGACAAUGGGGGGAACCCUGAUCCAGCCAUGCCGCGUGUGUGAAGAAGGCCUUAUGGUUGUAAAGCACUUUAAGCGAGGAGGAGGCUCCUAUAGAUAAUACCUAUAGUGAGUGGACGUUACUCGCAGAAUAAGCACCGGCUAACUCUGUG